rnacentral:rRNA from 1 species
CUCAGAACGAACGCUGGCGGCAGGCUUAACACAUGCAAGUCGAACGCUGUAGCAAUACAGAGUGGCAGACGGGUGAGUAACGCGUGGGAACGUGCCCUUCGGUUCGGAAUAACUCAGGGAAACUUGAGCUAAUACCGUAUGUGCCGGUAACGGGAAAGAUUUAUCGCCAAAGGAUUGGCCCGCGUCCGAUUAGCUAGUUGGUGAGGUAACGGCCCACCAAGGCUCCGAUCGGUAGCUGGUUUGAGAGAACGACCAGCCACACUGGGACUGAGACACGGCCCAGACUCCUACGGGAGGCAGCAGUGGGGAAUCUUGGACAAUGGGGGAAACCCUGAUCCAGCCAUGCCGCGUGAGUGAUGAAGGCCUUCGGGUUGUAAAACUCUUUCGACGGGGACGAUAAUGACGGUACCCGUAGAAGAAGCUCCGGCUAACUUCGUGCCAGCAGCCGCGGUAAUACGAAGGGGGCUAGCGUUGUUCGGAAUUACUGGGCGUAAAGCGCGCGCAGGCGGCUUCUCAAGUCAGGGGUGAAAGCCCAGAGCUCAACUCUGGAACUGCCUUUGAAACUGUGAGGCUUGAGUACGGGAGAGGUGAGUGGAAUUCCCAGUGUAGAGGUGAAAUUCGUAGAUAUUGGGAAGAACACCGGUGGCGAAGGCGGCUCACUGGCCCGUUACUGACGCUCAUGCGCGACAGCGUGGGGAUCAAACAGGAUUAGAUACCCUGGUAGUCCACGCCGUAAACGAUGGACGCUAGCCGUUGGCAGGCUUGCCUGUCAGUGGCGCAGCUAACGCAUUAAGCGUCCCGCCUGGGGAGUACGGCCGCAAGGUGAA